rnacentral:rRNA from 1 species
AACCGUGCCCCACUAGUCUGGGAUACCACUUGGAAACAAGGUGGCUAAUACCGGAUAAGAAAGCGGAUCGCAUGAUCAGCUUUUAAAAGGCGGCGUAAGCUGUCGCUAUGGGAUGGCCCCGCGGUGCAUUAGCUAGUUGGUAAGGUAAAGGCUUACCAAGGCGAUGAUGCAUAGCCGAGUUGAGAGACUGAUCGGCCACAUUGGGACUGAGACACGGCCCAAACUCCUACGGGAGGCAGCAGCU